rnacentral:rRNA from 1 species
GACGAACGCUGGCGGCGUGCUUAACACAUGCAAGUCGAACGGAAAGGCCCUGCUUUUGUGGGGUGCUCGAGUGGCGAAGGGGUGAGUAACACGUGAGUAACCUGCCCUUGACUUUGGGAUAACUUCAGGAAACUGGGGCUAAUACCGGAUAGGAGCUCCUGCUGCAUGGUGGGGGUUGGAUAGUUUCGGCGGUUGGGGAUGGACUCGCGGCUUAUCAGCUUGUUGGUGGGGUAUUGGCUUACCAAGGCUUUGACGGGUAGCCGGCCUGAGAGGGUGACCGGCCACAUUGGGACUGAGAUACGGCCCAGACUCCUACGGGAGGCAGCAGUGGGGAAUAUUGCACAAUGGGCGGAAGCCUGAUGCAGCAACGCCGCGUGCGGGAUGACGGCCUUCGGGUUGUAAACCGCUUUCGCCUGUGACGAAGCGUGAGUGACGGUAAUGGGUAAAGAAGCACCGGCUAACUACGUG